AUACGUAGGGUCCGAGCAUUAUCCGGAGUGACUGGGUGUAAAGAGUUGCGUAGGUGGCAUGGUAAGUAGAUAGUGAAAUCUGGUGGCUCAACCAUUCAGACGGUUAUCUAAACUGCCAAGCUCGAGACCGUUAGGGGUAGCUGGAAUUUCUAGUGUAGGAGUGAAAUCCGUAGAUAUUAGAAAGAACACCGAUAGCGUAGGCAGGCUACUGGGGCGGUUCUGACACUAAGGCACGAAAGCGUAGGGAGCAAACGGGAUUAGAUACCCCGGUAGUCUACGCCGUAAACGAUGGAUACUAGCAGUUCCGGGUAUCGACCCCCGAAGUUGCGAAGCUAACGCGUUAAGUAUCCCACCUGUGUAGUACGAUCGCAAGAUUAAAACUCAAAUGAAUUGACGGGG
rnacentral:rRNA from 1 species